rnacentral:lncRNA from 14 species
AGGGAGGUUUCAGAAGUGAUAGAUCAUCAAGAGAAGCUGUGGCUGCCCCAUCCCUGGCAGCGUUUAAGGAAAAGGCAGUUCCAAAAGGACAAUACAAGGGACGGUACUUCAGGCCCUGUCAGACCUGUCUUGCUCCACAGUCACCACCUGAGCGCUGCUCUCGGACUGAGGCUCCAUGGAGACUGCGUAUAAAUCCAAAGUGGGGUGACAAAGACAUCAUAAAAAGGUGUGUUUGCUUCAAGACAGAUAUUGAGAAAUGUCUGAUAUGUAGCCACCAGAACAAGAGGCAGCCUGUGAUGUGUCUGAUUCGGACUUCGCCGACAUUCAUUGAUUGGAUAGGAAGCACCAAACAAAUAGCCCGGUUAACAGAGGGUUCCAACCAUCCUUUAUUGCAAAAUCCAGCUGGAAGAUAAGUGGAUAAAUGAAGUAAAAAGGAAGACUUAUGGACUGACUUGCUCAUGGACUCUUGAGGCCACGGUGUUCCUGACCUUACUGCAGUCCAUUUUAUUUCCCCAAAGUGUUACUCUUAUUUAGUGGAAUUUCUAUUUUGCUUAUUACAAAAAUUUUAAUUUUGUUUAACAGAAUUUUUUUGUCUCCUUCUAAAACUGCUCAGAUUCACUGGUUAUAGUCCUCAAUUAUCUUCCCUUAGGGUAAACAUGCCAUUUUCAUAAACCUCAGUAGCCUCCUUAUCAUCAAAACAUUUACUCUAUUUUUAUUGAAAAACACUUGUUACCAAAUACAAGCCAGAUGGUGGCUUAUUUUUCCGAAAGAUAACAUUUAAUAUAGACAAACAUAGUGUUAUAUCUCCAACUGUAGAAAAAUAUUUGAUCUCAGUGAUAUCUCUCAAAAAAUUUACUUUGCAGAGUGCACAUUAUCUUUUCCUACAUUUAUUGAUAAUUCUGUGUCUAUGCAAGUGAAUAUGUCUAUCUUUUCUCCCUCCAGUGGUUCUUUUUCGUCUCCUUUGCUUACUGUCUGAUUUAUAGAGAAACUAAUCUUCCUUUGAUUUUGCAUAAAGGGAACUUCACAAUGGCUAGUCAUACGCUGUUGAUAUUUUACUCAAUUUUUAACACUGAACAGGUGGGAGUUUACUCAUAGCUUAAUGAAUGAUGUUGCAUUCUAAAGGUAUUAUUCACAUCCACUGUAUAAAUUACCCCUAUGGGUAUAAAUCCAACUUUGAAAGAUGCCUGGGUUUUAUCUAGUUUAUUUCAUCAGCUUGGAGCCUUCUUGCUGUGUUAGUGUUGUUGUCUCUGACUUUAUAUAAGCCUGUUCAUCUGUCCAGCUUAAAAUUAGUGUUAUUCCA